UACGUAGGGGGCAAGCGUUGUCCGGAUUUACUGGGCGUAAAGAGCGCGCAGGCGGUCGGAUAAGUCGAAUGUGAAAGCCCCUGGCUCAACCAGGGAGGGUCAUUCGAUACUGUUCGACUCGAAGGCAGGAGAGGGAAGUGGAAUUCCGGGUGUAGUGGUGAAAUGCGUAGAUAUCCGGAGGAACACCAGUGGCGAAGGCGACUUUCUGGCCUGUUCUUGACGCUGAGGCGCGAAAGCUAGGGGAGCAAACGGG
rnacentral:rRNA from 1 species